CCAUCCUAGACUUUUACCUCAUUUCUUCCUUCUUUCUAUCCUUGCCAUCUUAUUUGCAACACAGCAGCCAAAAUUAUCCUCUCAAAACCAAGUCAUUUCCUGUCACUUCUCUGCUCAAAAUCCUAAUGGUUUUUUUUUUUCCCUCAAAUUAGGAGCCAAAAGUUCUAGAAGGGCCUAGUGGGCUAGCCCUGCCAGUCUCCCAGACUGGAUAGGCUACCAACUGUCCUCACCUUCUCUGCUCCAUCCACACUGGCAUUUCACUACUGCUUGAUUCCUGCCCAGCCUCUAGUACUUCCUCUGCUGGGUCAUGCUCUCCCCAGGGUAUCGUCACCACCUGCUUCAUCCUUUCCUUUAGUUCUCUGCUUAAAUAUCAUCUUUCAAGAAAGGAAAAUAUUCUCCUUCAUGUACAUCUCCCUCUCUACCCUCCUUAACUAUUUUUUAUGAGCAUGUAAGAGAUUGUUGAUUUAUUUCCUGACUCUCCUCUAGAGUGUAAGCUCCAAGAGAGUAGGCACUUUGAUUUGGUCUCUACUCUAUCCAUAGUGUCUAAAAUAGUGCCUUGCCAAGUACUAUGCACUCAAUAAACAUUGAUCAAAGAAAUGAAAAAAAAAUUGUAUUAGAAAUAUAAAUCUAAAUAUUUAAGCAAAAGCUUUUGGUAAUUUGUCUGAAGUCAAGUAUCAGUGACUAUAAAUUCUGUUCUGUUUUCUGAACCCUCACAUCCAUGAUUUUGGCUUUUUUUUUGUUUUCCUUUGGUCAAUUUAUAUUAUUGGUUUUCCCACAGAAGUAAAGAGGUGUAUGAUUUCUUGCUAAUGUUUUUGGGUUUGUGACCCUUACAUAACAAACACAGAACAUCAGCAGAACAGGAAAUUGAUCGAAGAUCACAGUAACUGAACUCUUCUAAAUCAAAUCUCGCCUCUCCUUGUAUCAGUAAGGAACCUAGCAGGAAACAGAUGGCAUGCGCAAAUUGGGUAAUUUGACUAGAGUUUAAUAAAGGUAUCAUUUUCAAACCACAGGGCCCUGAGUGCAGUGCCUUGAGGGUAGAGUCAGUCCUUUUGAAGGACUGAAGGAGAAAGGGGAGGAAAGGUACGUGGGGAGGGAAGAGUACUUGUUCCUCGAGGGAACGCUGUAGGAGAGGACCCAAGAGAGAGGCCACGCAACAGGACCAGGAGCCUUGGUGGAGGAAUACAACCAGCCCAUUUUAGACCCAUGGGCUGAGGAGCUGAGGGAAUAAAUAUCCCAACUUCUCUCUCCUCCCUUCCUCUCAUCUGUGGCUGGGGCUUCCCACCAGCUGCACCAAACUGGAUGCUGGAAGAUGAGGGAACCUUUGGCUGCAAUCUAUAUAAUUAUGCCCACCUGUGAGGUAGAGAACAGGAUAGGAGAGGGUGGAUGGCAGAUCUGAAGGUGAAAGGUGGGCAUCCAACCGAGCAUCCAAGUGCUGCACUCCACGCUACAGCCUAGUCUCCCACUUCCACACUAGUCCCCAUCCCCACACAACAGCUGAAAUAAAAUCAUCGAUCUGUUCACAGCAGUCCUUUGUUUAAGACCAAAUCAUUCAACAGAUUUCUGCUGAACUUAGAAUACAAUCCAAAUGCACUCCAAUGAGGUACAAGUUCCGGGAUGAUCUGCCCAGUUCUCACCCACUUCUCUCCCUCAGCUCCUACUACACAGCCCAGCUGGGCUUGCUGUACCCACUCACAGUGAGUGGUCUGCCGUGGCUCCCCAGAAUAAAGCUCAUUGUCUCCAAAGGCCCUUUGUACACUCAGAACACCUGGUUGGAACACCCUUUCCUCAUCCUGUUGCAUGAUUAACUUCUACUGCUGAUUUAAAUCUUAUUAUUUGAAUAUUAUCACCUCAAGGAGGCCCUCCAUCAGAGUACCCCAGUAUUUGCUCCACAGCAUUUAUCACAAACCAUAAAUGACUCCUUCUCUCUCCCUCUCCUUCUCUUUGUGUAGUCUGAUUCUAAGGCAGAGCAAGUUUCUUUCAGGCAUGGGUCUUCCCUGUCUUCUCUGUCACUUUCUCAUCCUCAGGAUGUAGAACAAUUUCUGGCCCAGGUGGUUUCUCAAUAAAUAUUUGUCAAUUGAGUGAACAAACAUUCCAUUCAAUGAAAAUAUCCUUCCACUUAUUCAAUUACAAAAAAGGGGUUGCCUUUGAGUUUAUCUUGAAUGUAUUUGAAUUUCUAAUUCUCUGGUAUCUGGGGGACCUUAAAUAUAUUAAGUGCUUGAUAUAUGUAUUUGAAUAAGACACAUUUAUUAGGACUGAUUUUCUCUAGCUUGGCAGAUUGUUUUUAUGGUUGUUCUAUUAUGUCUUUUACAUGAUUAAGUUAAAAAAUGAACAACACCUUAUUCCCAAUCUGUAGUUUUAUAGCAUAGCCAAUUGAGUGCCGUUGAAUAUCUUGGUGACUUAUUGGAAGCUGGCAUUGUGACUGAUCUUGAGCUUUAGAGCCAGGAAGACCUGGGAAAACUCCAGUUAGGCCACUAAAUGGCUGGGAAAGACUGUGGACAAAUUACCUAUUCUUUCUGAGCCUGUUUCCACAUCUGUAGAUACCUGGGUGGUGUGGUCUCAUUCCUAGGGUUGUUACAGGUGAUAGCAGAGAUCUUUCUCCUUUCUCUGGGCCCAUCAUUUUCCCUUUAGUACAAAACAGCCAGAAAUCCUCCCUCUUCUCUCCUUAGGCUGCUGCUUCAUCAAUACCAGUCCAUUAGUCUUUGGAUCUCAUGUCCAUAUUCUGGUUAUUGGGAAUCUUGCUGGAAGGUUUUCCUGUCCACACUUUUCUUUAUAAAGUUGAAUUUGCUUUCUGGUGGAAGAAGCUUGCAGCUCAGUUGUGCCUGUGACAAAUUACAGACCCAUCAGGCUUUUCAGCUGGCGUCAUAUUUGCCAGACAAAUGCAGACAGCACUUUCAUGCAGUGAAACACUUUGUUAGUACUUUGAGCCUCUAAGGGACAAUUUGAGUUUGAAAAAAAAGGUAUUGAAACCUUGUACAAUACUCACCCCAUUACACAAGGAAAACCAAAUAAGUUUAUCUGACAAAAAAGUAUGGGUAUGCUUUUGAUGAAAGAAGACCAAACCACAGGGCGCUCUCUCUACUCUGCAGAGAGACAAGAUGCAUAGUUUCAUCUUUUGCUUAUUUCUUUUUAGUUAAGUUUAACUAAUAUGCUUUGAGUGCAUUUUUUGUGCCAAGCAAUUUUCUUUACUUUUUAGAUGAACUUAGACCUAUUCAGAUUUUAAAGUAAAAAUAUUUAGGUGCAGGGAACUUUUACUAAGAUCUGACCAAAGAAUGAGAUUCUUUGCUGACAAUUGGGAAAUGUAUUGGUACUAUACAUGCAAUCUGGCAAAAUUAACUUUCUAAUGCAUGAAAUGGUUGUCUGGAAUCUGGUUCCUUAAAAUAGUCAAAUAAGUUUCAUUCAAGCCUAUAUAGUUAGCACUCUUGAUACAUGCUGAACAAAAUAGAUAAGGGUAUAUAGUCCCCCCCUCCAGCACUUUACUGUUAGUUGGGCUCAGUGUUCCUGAAUAUUUUUGACCAAUGUCCUUCUUUUCUAAGUAUAAAUAUCUCAGGCCAUUCUCUCAUUAUUUGAAACUUAGGCUAAAGUUGAAGACAACUAAAUUAAGCCCUGCUGUAUUUUCAAUUUACAUGUAAUAUGAAUUUGUCUGUGUCUCUCUGGGACACACCAAUCUAAUGAUACAUACGUUUGUGUCAUUCAUCAUUAAGCCUUAUAUGUUUGAUUGAGACCAGAGGUUGUAUAUUAAUGGUUCCAGGGGUCCAGUGCAGAUCACAGAAUUGUUGUCCUCUUAACUUUCUUAAUUGAGCCAGUGUUUACAAUCAGGAGAUUUCACAUAAAAUGCAAAUUUGGGCUUCUCUUAAAACACUGGGGAGUUCCUGCUAUUGUACAACAGGUUUAGGAUCCAGUGAUCCCCAGCCUGGUACAGUGGGUUAAGGAUCUGAUGUUUUCGAAGCUGUGGUGUAGGUUGAAAUUGAGGCUCAGAUUCCAUCCCUGGCCCAGGAAUUUCCAUAUGCUAUGGGUGCAGCUGAAAAAUAAAAUAAAAGAAAAAACAAACAAACAAAAACCCAAGUAAAACAUUGGAAAGCCUGGCGGCAACAAUCAACAUUCCCAGGUGGCAGCAAUGGGAUGAGACCGACUGGCUA
rnacentral:lncRNA from 1 species